GCUUAGCCAUAGCGUGUCUUCUGCAUCGCGUGAUGGAGGAGUGGGUCCAGACGGGAACGCUAUGUCCGAUAUAUCGUAUUCUUAUGGCCGAAACACAAGUUCUAGUACCGAUCCAGGCGGUUCUACCCCAAACCAAGCAACACAAAUAUGUGGGUUUGAUCGGGAAGCAAGGGUAAUGAGGUACAGAGAGAAGAGGAAGAAUCGG
rnacentral:misc_RNA from 1 species